rnacentral:rRNA from 1 species
UACGUAGGGUGCGAGCGUUGCCCGGAUUUAUUGGGCGUAAAGGGCGCGUAGGCGGCUCUGCACGUCCGUUGUGAAAUCGCCCGGCUCAACUGGGCGGGGUCAGCGGAUACGGCGGAGCUUGAGCAAGCUAGGGGGCAAUGGAAUUCCCGGUGUAGUGGUGAAAUGCGUAGAGAUCGGGAGGAACACCUGUGGCGAAGGCGGCCCCCUGGGCCGCGCCUGACGCUGAGACGCGAAGGCUAGGGGAGCGAACGGG